rnacentral:rRNA from 1 species
UGACCCUAGUUCAGGCGGGUCUACCCGCUGAGCGYGCAUAUCAAUAAGCGGAGG